rnacentral:rRNA from 1 species
UCAGGACGAACGCUGGCGGCGUGCUUAACACAUGCAAGUCGAACGGGAGUAUUGAAGAAGCUUGCUUAGAGAUACUUAGUGGCGGACGGGUGAGUAACGCGUGAGGAGCUGUCCUAUGCAGGGGGACAACAGCUGGAAACGGCUGCUAAUACCCCAUAAGCCGAGAGGUAAAAGGAUCAAUCCGGCAGAGGAGGUACUCGCGUCCUAUCAGCUAGUAGGUGAGGUAACGGCUCACCUAGGCGAAGACGGGUAGCCGGCCUGAGAGGGCGAACGGCCACACUGGAACUGAGAUACGGUCCAGACUCCUACGGGAGGCAGCAGUGGGGAAUAUUGGGCAAUGGGGGAAACCCUGACCCAGCGACGCCGCGUGGGUGAAGAAAUCCUUCGGGAUGUAAAGCCCUGUUGUAUGGGAAGAGCGGAAGACGGUACCAUACGAGGAAGCCCCGGCAAACUACGUGCCAGCAGCCGC